UACGUAGGGGGCAAGCGUUGUCCGGAAUCAUUGGGCGUAAAGCGCGUGUAGGCGGUCCGGUAAGUCCGCUGUGAAAGUCGGGGGCUCAACCCUCGGAUGCCGGUGGAUACUGUCGGGCUAGAGUACGGAAGAGGCGAGUGGAAUUCCUGGUGUAGCGGUGAAAUGCGCAGAUAUCAGGAGGAACACCUAUUGCGAAGGCAGCUCGCUGGGACGUUACUGACGCUGAGACGCGAAAGCGUGGGGAGCAAACAGG
rnacentral:rRNA from 1 species